ACGCUCGACACCUACGGUAGGCAGCAGUGGGGAAUAUUGCACAAUGGGGGAAACCCUGAUGCAGCGACGCCGCGUGGAGGAAGAAGGUCUUCGGAUUGUAAACUCCUGUUGUUGGGGAAAAAGAGGAUGGUACCCAACAAGGAAGUGACGGCUAACUACGUGCCAGCAGCCGUGGUAAUCUGAGCGGGCUGGCAAGGC
rnacentral:rRNA from 1 species